rnacentral:piRNA from 1 species
UGUCAUGCGGCCGGAGCAGAUCAUGAAGUCCA